rnacentral:tRNA from 1 species
GUUCCAUUAGCUCAGUGGUUAGAAGCGUUGGUCUUAUGAGCCAAAGGUCGUCGGUUCGAGCCCGACAUGGAACA